GCCCGCAAAGUCUGGGGCCCUUCCGAGUCCGGCGGACGAACUUCGCCCACGCCCCCCACCAAGGCUAUAGCCCACCCGUUUUUUGGCCAUUUUUCCGCUGGGGGGUCUUGGCGCCCCGACCUUCGGGGGCUGAUUUUUGGGCGUGGCUGUGAACGUGGCCUAUUUUUGGCACACGGAGGCCGCCCGCAAAGUCUGGGGCCAUUCCGAGUCCGGCGGACGAACUUCGCCCACGCCCCCCACCAAGGCUAUAGCCCGCCCACCCGUUUUUUGGCCAUUUUUCCGCUGGGGGGUCUUGGCGCCCCGACCUUCGGGGGCUGAUUUUUGGGCGCGGCUCUGCCCGUGGCCUAUUUUUGGCACACGGAGGACGCCCGCAAAGUCUGGGGCCCUUCCGAGUCCGGCGGACGAACUUCGCCCACGCCCCCCACCAAGGCUAUAGCCCACCCGUUUUUUGGCCAUUUUUCCGCUGGGGGGUCUUGGCACCCCGACCUUCGGGGGCUGAUUUUUGAGCGCGGCUCUGCCCGUGGCCUAUUUUUGGCACACGGAAGCCGCCCGCAAAGUCUGGGGCCAUUCCGAGUCCGGCGGACGAACUUCGCCCACGCCCCCCACCAAGGCUAUAGCCCACCCGUUUUUUGGCCAUUUUUCCACUGGGGGGUCUUGGCACCCCGACCUUCGGGGGCUGAUUUUUGGGCGCGGCUCUGCCCGUGGCCUAUUUUUGGCACACGGAAGCCGCCCGCAAAGUCUGGCGCCAUUCCGAGUCCGAUGGACGAACUUCGCCCACGCCCCCCACCAAGGCUAUAGCCCACCCGUUUUUUGGCCAUUUUUCCGCUGGGGGGUCUUGGCGCCCCGACCUCCGGGGGAUGAUUUUUAGGCGCGGCUGUGCCCGUGGCCUAUUUUUGGCAGACGGAGGCCGCCCGCAAAGUCUGGGGCCAUUCCGAGUCCGGCGGACGAACUUCGCCCACGCCCCCCACCAAGGCUUUAGCCCACCCGUUUUUUGGCCAUUUUUCC
rnacentral:lncRNA from 1 species